rnacentral:sRNA from 1 species
GAGAGAAGAGAGAAGGAA